CCCUUAGAUGUCCUGGGCCGCACGCGUGCUACACUGACGCCUACAGCGAGCACUUUCCAGCCCCGAGAGGCGGCUGGUAAUCAGCAAUAGGCGUCGUGAUGGGGAUAGAUCUUUGGAAUUAUGGAUCUUGAACGAGGAAUGCCUAGUAAGCGCAGGUCAUUAGCCUGCGCUGAUUAAGUCCCUGCCCUUUGUACACACCGCCCGUCGCUCCUACCGAUUUCGAGUGGUCCGGUGAAUCUUUCGGACUGCGCGCGGCCUUGAGUCGUGUCGCGGAAAGUCAGGUAAACCUUAUCACUUAGAGGAAGGAGAAGUCGUAACA
rnacentral:rRNA from 1 species